CCAGGUCACCGGUGAACGUUCUCAGCACACACGGAACUGCAGGGCUGCCCUCCUUCCCAGCUCCUCUCAGAAACAGACAGGUGGGACCGAAGAAAUCCUCAGUGUUGGAAGCUGACCACUAAAACCUGGCAAGAGAGAGCCAGGGCACUCAGGACUUGGGGAAGAGUUGAAGUAUAAUGUUGGAGAAAGACCCUAUGGGGAGCCUCACUUGACUAGAAGAAGAAUUAGUUUUUCCUUGGACCCAGGAAUCUGCUGAGGUGUUCACAGCCGCCUGCACCUGCCAUGUCAGAUAGUAAAAGUGGUGUGAUGAUGACCAAGUUGGACGGUGAAUGGAAGAUUCUCGACACCAGCUUUUGUCUUUUACUUCUACCUGUGGAACCUGUGGGCCAAGCCCACUUACCAGAGUGACCUCUCAUGGGAAGGACACUACAUUAAACUCAGAGAAGUACGUUUAAUCAUUAGUAACUAUAUUGGGAC
rnacentral:lncRNA from 1 species